UACGGGGGGGGCAAGCGUUGUUCGGAAUUACUGGGCGUAAAGGGCUCGUAGGCGGCCAACUAAGUCGGACGUGAAAUCCCUCGGCUUAACCGGGGAACUGCGUCCGAUACUGGAUGGCUUGAGUUCGGGAGAGGGAUGCGGAAUUCCAGGUGUAGCGGUGAAAUGCGUAGAUAUCUGGAGGAACACCGGUGGCGAAGGCGGCAUCCUGGACCGAUACUGACGCUGAGGAGCGAAAGCGUGGGGAGCGAACAGG
rnacentral:rRNA from 1 species